rnacentral:rRNA from 1 species
CGGCCGCGGUAUCCUGACCGUGCAAAGGUAGCAUAAUCACUUGUUCCUUAAUUAGGGACUAGCAUGAACGGCCAAACGAGGAUUCAACUGUCUCUUAUUUUUAANUCAGUGAAAUUGACCUUUCAGUGAAGAGGCUGAAAUACUAAAAUAAGACGAGAAGACCCUAUGGAGCUUAAAUUAAAAGUUUAAUUUUAUUCCCACCAACCUAAUGGUAUAACACAAAAACUUUAAACUCUAAAUUUCGGUUGGGGCGACCUCGGAGAACAAAAAAUCCUCCGAAUGAUUCUAACAUAGACCAACAAGUCAAAGUAAAUUAAAAAUCUUAUUGACCCAAAUCUUUUGAUCAACGGACCAAGUUACCCUAGGGAUAACAGCGCAAUCCUAUUUUAGAGUCCAUAUCGACAAUAGGGUUUACGACCUCGAUGUUGGAUCAGGACAUCCCAAUGGCGCA